ACCCGCUGAACUUAAGCAUAUCACUAAGCGGAGGAAAAGAAAUUAACUAAGAUUGCCUCAGUAGCGGCGAGCGAAGCGGCAAGAGUCCAAACUGUAAAUCUCCGGUUUUCGGCCGGCGAAUUGUAAUCUACAGUGGUGCGCUGACAAGCGAGCUGGUGCAUAAGUGCCUUGGCAUAGGCCGCCAGAGAAGGUAACAGCCCUGUCUUUGGUGCCAGCUUGCUCUAAGUGUGCUAACGACGAGUCGGGUUGUUUUGUACUGCAGCCCUAAUUGGGAGAUAAACUUCUUCUAAGACUAAAUACUCGUGGGAGACCGAUAGCGAACAAGUACUGUGAAGGAAAGAUGAAAAGAACUUUGAAAAGAGAGUUAACAGACUUGAAAUCGUUGAGGUGGAAGCGGUAGAAAUUUAUUAUUCUUCGAUGAGCUGAAGCGUUCCGCCUAACUGUCGGGUUGCGUGCGAACUGUCAAAAGUCGCUGUGGCUCGUCCAGGGAAGCGUGCGUGUUGUUCUACGAGGAUAGGCAAGAUGGAGUCGUCCCCCUUCACAAGGUUCUUAGGUCUCUCAUCUUCGGGUGAGGCCUGGGUGUCCCAGUUGGAGGGCGGCUUGAGGGGCCAUGUGCGAUCUUGUCAAAAUGGUUUCUACCGGCCCGUCUUGAAACACGGACCAAGGAGUCUAACAUAUAUGCGAGUGUGCUGGUGGAGAAACCGACACGCGGAAUGAAAGUGAUCGAUGCCCUGGCGUAGGCCUUCAGCAUCGGCCGACCAUGAUCCUCUGGUGAAAGGUUUGAGUAUGAGCAUAUCUGUUAGGACCCGAAAGAUGGUGAACUAUGCCUGAGUAGGGUGAAGCCAGAGGAAACUCUGGUGGAGGCUCGUAGCGAUUCUGACGUGCAAAUCGAUCGUCGAACUUGGGUAUAGGGGCGAAAGACUAAUCGAACCAUCUAGUAGCUGGUUCCCUCCGAAGUUUCCCUCAGGAUAGCUGAGACAUUAUGCAGUUUUAUUAGGUAAGGCGAAUGAUUAGAGGCCUCGGGAUUGUAAUGAUCUCGACCUAUUCUCAAACUUUAAAUUGGUAAGAACCUUGGGCUUCUUAAUUGAGUGCCAGGGGUAGAAUGCAUGUCUUAAGUGGGCCAUUUUUGGUAAGCAGAACUGGCGAUGAGGGAUGCUCCUAACGCUGAGUUAAGGUGCCCAACUGUACGCUCAUCAGAUACCAGAAAAGGUGUUAGUUCAUCUAGACAGCAGGACGGUGGCCAUGGAAGUCGGAACCCGCUAAGGAGUGUGUAACAACUCACCUGCCGAAUGAACUAGCCCUGAAAGUUGAUGGCGCUCAAGCGUACGACCGAUACUCGGCCAUUGUGGCGAGAGUGUUGCUGCAAUGUGUAGGAGGGCGUGAGCAUUGUUUUGAAGCCUUUGACGUGAGUCUGGGUCGAACUGUGCUUAGUGCAGAUCUUGGUGGUAGUAGCAAUUAUUCAAAUGAGACCUUUGAAGGCCGAAGUGGAGAAGGUUUCCAUGAGAACAGCAAUUGGUCAUGGGUGACUCGAUCCUAAGACAUUGGGUAACCCCUUGCAAAUGGGAUUUUCCUGCAGUCGAAAGGGAAUGAGGUUAAUAUUCCUCAAGCUGGAUGUGGAUAUUGUAUGGUAACAUAAGUGAGCUCAGAAACGCCAGCGUGGGCCCUUGGAAGAGUUCUCUUUUCUUUUUAACAGGCCAGCGACCUUGAAAUUGGAUUAUCCAGAGCUAAGGUUGUAUGUCUGGAAGAGCAUCUCGCCUUAUGGGAUGUCAGGUGCGUUCACGAUGGUCCUUGAAAAUCUGAGUGAGAGACUUAUUCCACACCAGGUCGUACCAAUAACCGCAUCAGGUCUCCAAGGUU
rnacentral:rRNA from 1 species